ensembl:lncRNA
CUCAAUUUAAAUGUAUCUGCUCUGUAUCUGUUCAAGUGGAGAUAAUCCAUGCAAAUCAGGAGCAGUGGUUUUCAAUGCCUGGUUCACAGAGAGGACUCAGCUUGAGGAGGUCACUCGUUCACAGCCGCUCCUCCCAUUAUAUUUUUCCCCUUAUUGCAGAACUGCUGUAUGUAUACAGUGACUGAAAGGACUCAAUUUACUGCAACUGCUGCCUGGCUUUACUUACAACUUUUUUUUAUAAAGGAACUUACCUCCAUCUGUCUUUUCAAGUUUCAGGGUAGAAAGUGUCCCUUUAGCUCCUGGAGACAGUAAAUCACAGUUUGUGUGGUGGUUCUCAAAAGACACUUAAAGGACUGAACUGGAUGCUCUACAUAGCACCCUUGCCAAAAGAGCUCGGAAAUGACUUCCAGCUUCCCACAGUAAUAAAAUGGCACUGUUUGGCAUCUUUAAGGUAAUAAAAGUGAAUUUUUUCCAUUCUAGUAAAUGAGAAGAGAGGCUUGGUUGUUUUAAAAACUGAUUAAAAUUCAUGUGUUUUCCUCAAAUUAUAGAGCGUGAUAUGAGCACACUUACACGUGAACUUCAGACCACCUCAGAGCCUUAUUAUAUCCAGGUCUGCAGGAAGCAGGAUGUGCUGGUGGGUGGAUGGAAGGGAGCCUGGGAAGGAGCCGGCAGGUGCUGUGAAUACUGAGGUCAGGAUUCAAUAGGUGGCACUCUUCCCUCUGAGUCAGCAGUAGAUGAAUUCAGAGUGUGCUCUUUGGAGGAUAGUAUUUUGCUUGAAGGAAAUGUCUUGGAAGUUCAUAAGUGUUCCUGGCACUGUUCAACAGCUGCUGAGUCUAAUCGCAGACUCGGGCUGUAUUUUGGUGAUGGGAAAAGCCCUAGAAGAUUGGUUUUGUGCCCUUAAGAAAGAGGCUUAUGUAAGACAUUAUCUUCAUUUGUAUACAAGACAUUUUAAAAUUCAGUUUCACUCUCCUCAGCAGUUCAAAGGAAAAUCUUUUGUCAUUUCUCUUUGACUCAUAGGGUCUAGAAGGAAGUUUGAUCAUUUUCCAUUUCCCAUCUGGUUACUCAUAAGGCACCUGCAUCUCUUGUGGCUUCUUCUAGACUACACAAUGCUACCAACUGACAAUAAACAGUUUAUAAAGGCACCACCUUUCAGAAAAGGCACCUGAGCAUUUGCCAGCCAAAGGCACGGGAUAUAGUAUUCCAUCUUUAUUUCAACUGCACCAACAGGAGAAAUUAUAAUUGCUUUAAACAGGAAACACAAGAUGGAUAACUUUUUACAUAUGGUCCAAUCCACAUUUGCCUUUGUUUAUAUGCUGCAAUUAGAAGGCUAUUACAAAAAAUUAAUAGUAUUGUGGAAAAAUUUUUAAUGACUUGCUGAUUUCAGUUGUUGUCAAAUACUUUCAUCUACCCUCAUAUUUCUAAUUAAGAGACACCAGUGUGUGUGUUUUUAUUAUCACUUUUUUAAAAUUAUACGAAAGUCACCUCAGUAUUUAGGAGCUAGUCCAUUAAUUAAGCAGACAAAACUCUCAAAGAGGUUAAACAUUAUUAUAAGAGAAGCAGGAUGUAGACACACCUAGUUUAACAAUAGUGAGGAAGGAAGUAUCCCUAACAAUGACAGAAGAAGAAAGGGAAAUACUACUGCUGCUCUUAAUGAUGGUCUAUAAACAAUUGAGUACAUGUUUAUUGAGCCUAUGGCAGCUUGCUUCAACAAAAAGAGAAUUAGAUAUAAACGCUAAUGCCUUUUGCUCACAAAUACUCCCAAUGAGUAUGACCCAAAUUAGAGCAUCCGACUUUAGUUGGUAACCAUCUGUGAUUAAAAGGAAUAGGCUUCCUUCAAUGGAGGCCGCUUUCCUGCAGCUGGUUCUUGACUUUCACCUUCAAGUACGCAUUUAUCUGUUAAAUUAUACGGUCUCCAAGCAGACUCAUGAGAGAGAUUCAUGAAAGAAAAAAGUAUAGUCCCUGAUACACGAUUGAUCAGCCACAAAAUAAGACAUAACAUGUUUAUAAAUCUAGAUUUGCCCUUAACCCUUUGUAAUGCAAUUAGGCCAUUUCUCUUGAUAUUUUAAACUAUGAGCUUUCCAUGGCCAGGGACCGUACCUUAUUUAACUAUACAGACAGUUGUUGUUGUUGCUAAGUUGCUUUAGUCGUGUCCUACCCUGUGAGACCCCAUAGAAGGCAGCCCACCAGGCUCCCCCGUCCCUGGGAUUCUCCAGGCAAGAACACUGGAGUGGGUUGUCAUUUCCUUCUCCAAUGCAUGAAAGUGAAAAGGGAAAGUGAAGUUGCUUAGUCGUGUCUGACUCUUAGUGACCCCAUGGAUUGCAGCCUACCAAGCUCCUCCAUCCAUGGGAUUUUCCAGGCAAGAGUACUAGAGUGGGUUGCUAUUGCUAUACAGACUAGGCAAUCUGUAUUUGUUGAAUAAGUGAACACAUGUAUAAACAUACAAAACUGAGUUUCUCAUUUUUCUUAUUGCUAAAAUGGAAAUAAUCUUACCUUCAGCAAAUAUGUAAGGGUAAAAACAUUCAUGUUCUUGAUUUUAAGUGUGCAAUUUUAUCCAUAAAUACAGGAACUGUAAUGAGCUUAACCUAAACAAUUGUUCUACUUAAAAAUAUCAAAAGUUUAAAAAACUGGUAACAGCUAGCAAAUUCGACGUCUCUAUUUCUUACAUAAGCAGGGACUUGCUAAAGAAUUUAUGAUUAUCUUUAAUCUUGUCCCCUCCUUGUUACCUUGUCUGUAAUUUAAAUUAUUUAUCUUCUAUGUUCCAAAUAUUAUUAUACACAUAUAGUAGAUAAAAUUAUUUCCUUUGAAAAUUCCUAAUCUUUAUUCCCUAUUCUAAAAUGUAUAUUUUGUGUCCAAAUGAUAUUUGUCUGUGUUACAGAAGAAAUUUCUUUAUUCAUUUAUUUAAUAUAUGUUGGAUGAAUGCCUGCCGUGUAGAAGAUAAUUCACCAAACACAAAAAUGCAACAGAAAAUAUUUAAAUUCUCUUUAUUAUACAUGUUUCAGAGUUAAUCUCACACCACUGGUUACUCUGAUUUGGCCUGUGAUUCAAAGUGAUUAUAUAUAGGCUAAAGAUUUGCCUUUAAGAGAGGGAUUCUGAAAGUUGUCCGUGUGUAAGAUGCACCUAAGACUAUCUGUGCAGUAAAACUGGUUCUGAAUUUCACUUCCCUGGAUUCAGGCUCAGUAGCUCUGGCAUAGAGCCCAGGAAUUAGUAGCAUUUCUAACAAGCUUCCCAGGUGAUUCUCAGGGAAGUUGUUCUCAGAACAUGAAUUAAGAAUCAAUGCCUUAAGAAUUAAAGAGGUUUUUCUUUUCAUGCCAUGCUUUAUACCAGAUACAACAAAUAUCAUCUUUUACUUCAUUAUUUUUUCCUAUGAAAAUGUCUAUAAUUGCAUUUUUUAGUUAGCAAGGAAUCUGUUGUGACCAUGAGGAGUAUUG